rnacentral:rRNA from 1 species
UGGGGAAUAUUGCACAAUGGGCGCAAGCCUGAUGCAGCCAUGCCGCGUGUGUGAAGAAGGCCUUCGGGUUGUAAAGCACUUUCAGCGAGGAGGAAGGUGGUGAACUUAAUACGUUCAUCAAUUGACGUUACUCGCAGAAGAAGCACCGGCUAACUCCGUGCCAGCAGCCGCGGUAAUACGGAGGGUGCAAGCGUUAAUCGGAAUUACUGGGCGUAAAGCGCACGCAGGCGGUUUGUUAAGUCAGAUGUGAAAUCCCCGGGCUCAACCUGGGAACUGCAUUUGAAACUGGCAAGCUAGAGUCUCGUAGAGGGGGGUAGAAUUCCAGGUGUAGCGGUGAAAUGCGUAGAGAUCUGGAGGAAUACCGGUGGCGAAGGCGGCCCCCUGGACGAAGACUGACGCUCAGGUGCGAAAGCGUGGGGCAGCAAACAGGAUUAGAUACCCUGGUAGUCCACGCUGUAAACGAUGUCGAUUUGGAGGUUGUGCCCUUGAGGCGUGGCUUCCGGAGCUAACGCGUUAAAUCGACCGCCNGGGGAGUACGGCCGCAAGGUUAAAACUCAAAGGAAUUG